UGAUCACCCUCGCGCCCGACGCAGAGUCGCUGUAAUAAAUGCUCGGGAAGUUAUAGAGAGAAAGGAGACGAUCCCAGUGAUUAAUGCCAAAGCCCUGUUGCCUGGGGAGAGGGUGAUGCUUGACUUUCUUGUACAGCUGCAGUUUGUGUGGUGAAGGUGCUCCCACAAUGUGGUUGGGGUGCUAGAUGGUGAAGAUUUGCAGACUGAAAUCUCAAAAUCAUGUGCAGAUUGUGAUUAUGUUAACCAGCAUUUGAAGAACCAAAGAUAGAGAAUCACUUGGCCAAAAUCCUGCAACACUCUCCCUCACAGCAUUGUUGGUCUAUCUGCACCAAAUGGACUGUGAAUGGUUCAAGACAGCAGCUCACUCCCAUCUUCUCAAGGGUAACUAGAGAUGGGGAAUAAAUGCUGGCUGAGCCAGUGAUGCCCAUAUCCUGGAAAUGGGUUCUAUCUCUAGUUGCUGAAACCCAGUUGAUGUUACUGCAGGAUGAUGAGGGACGCUGAGUGCAUCCUCCAGGAGGCAGCACCAUCACAUUACCCCUGCCUACACCCACACAGGAACACCACAACGUCACUGGAACAAAAGGCAGUGAAGCCAAAGGAGGACUUAGAUAUAGUUCUUCGGGGUAAAGACAUGAAAGAGGAUUGGAACACAGCAGGAACAGGAGACUGAGCUGGAUGGUCAGCUGUUUCCCAUUGAAUGGUGGAGCAGGAUUGAAAGGCUGAAUGGUCUCCUCCUGCUGCUAUCUCCCAGGUAUGUAUGUAGCCAUGGAGCCCGGGAAGGAAGGAGUGGGCAGGGAUUCUCCAGGAGAUUGCACUUCCACAACAGGUUUCAGUGAGGGUAGGUUUGAUGGAUUUUAUUUAACAUUUAUCUUUAACACAAAGUUUGUAAAUUUUGGUUUUAAAAUGUUGUAAAAGUUUUUU